rnacentral:rRNA from 1 species
AUUGAACGCUGGCGGCAUGCUUUACACAUGCAAGUCGAACGGCAGCGCGGGGGCAACCCUGGCGGCGAGUGGCGAACGGGUGAGUAAUGUAUCGGAACGUAUCCUGUAAUGGGGGAUAACCAGUCGAAAGAUUGGGUAAUACCGCAUACGCACGAGAGUGGAAAGUAGGGGAUCGCAAGACCUUACGUUAUAGGAGCGGCCGAUAUCUGAUUAGCUAGUUGGUGGGGUAAAGGCCUACCAAGGCGACGAUCAGUAGCUGGUCUGAGAGGACGACCAGCCACACUGGGACUGAGACACGGCCCAGACUCCUACGGGAGGCAGCAGUGGGGAAUUUUGGACAAUGGGCGAAAGCCUGAUCCAGCCAUGCCGCGUGCAGGAAGAAGGCCUUCGGGUUGUAAACUGCUUUAGUCUAGGAAAAGGGGUGCGAGGUUAAUACCCUCGUGCUUUGAUGGUACUGGAAGAAUAAGCACCGGCUAACUACGUG